rnacentral:rRNA from 1 species
CACGGGAGCUUCSGUCUGGUGGCGAGUGGCGAACGGGUGAGUAAUGUAUCGGAACGUACCUUUCAGUGGGGGAUAACGUAGCGAAAGUUACGCUAAUACCGCAUAUUCUGUGAGCAGGAAAGCAGGGGAUCGCAAGACCUUGCGCUGAUUGAGCGGCCGAUAUCAGAUUAGCUAGUUGGUGGGGUAAAGGCYYACCAAGGCKACGAUCUGUAGCGGGUCUGAGAGGAUGAUCCGCCACACUGGAACUGAGACACGGUCCAGACUCCUACGGGAGGCAGCAGUGGGGAAUUUUGGACAAUGGGGGCAACCCUGAUCCAGCCAUGCCGCGUGAGUGAAGAAGGCCUUCGGGUUGUAAAGCUCUUUCGGCCGGGAAGAAAUCGCAUAGGUUAAUACCCUGUGUGGAUGACGGUACCGGAAU